rnacentral:rRNA from 1 species
AUUGAACGCUGGCGGCAUGCUUUACACAUGCAAGUCGAACGGUGGAGGGGGCAACCCCUUGAGAGUGGCGAACGGGUGAGUAAUGCAUCGGAACGUGCUCAGUCGUGGGGGAUAACGCAGCGAAAGCUGUGCUAAUACCGCAUACGAUCUCUGGAUGAAAGCGGGGGACCGAAAGGCCUCGCGCGAUUGGAGCGGCCGAUGUCAGAUUAGGUAGUUGGUGGGGUAAAGGCUCACCAAGCCAACGAUCUGUAGCUGGUCUGAGAGGACGACCAGCCACACUGGGACUGGGAAGCGGCCCAGACUCCUACGGGAGGCAGCAGUGGGGAAUUUUGGACAAUGGGCGCAAGCCUGAUCCAGCAAUGCCGCGUGCAGGAAGAAGGCCUUCGGGUUGUAAACUGCUUUUGUACGGAACGGAAAGGUCUGGGUUAAUACCCUGGGCACAUGACGGUACCGUAAGAAUAAGCACCGGCUAACUACGUGCCAGCCGCCGCGGUAA